GACGAACGCUGGCGGCGUGCUUAACACAUGCGAGUCGAACGGAAAGGCCCCGCUUUUGUGGGGUGCUCGAGUGGCGAACGGGUGAGUAACACGUGAGUAACCUGCCCUUGACUUUGGGAUAACUUCAGGAAACUGGGGCUAAUACCGGAUAGGAGCUCCUGCUGCAUGGUGGGGGUUGGAAAGUUUCGGCGGUUGGGGAUGGACUCGCGGCUUAUCAGCUUGUUGGUGGGGUAGUGGCUUACCAAGGCUUUGACGGGUAGCCGGCCUGAGAGGGUGACCGGCCACAUUGGGAAUGAGAUACGGCCCAGACUCCUACGGGAGGCAGCAGUGGGGAAUAUUGCACAAUGGGCGGAAGCCUGAUGCAGCAACGCCGCGUGCGGGAUGACGGCCUUCGGGUUGUAAACCGCUUUCGCCUGUGACGAAGCGUGAGUGACGGUAAUGGGUAAAGAAGCACCGGCUAACUACGUG
rnacentral:rRNA from 1 species